rnacentral:rRNA from 1 species
UACGAAGGGGGCUAGCGUUGUUCGGAAUUACUGGGCGUAAAGCGCACGUAGGCGGACAUUUAAGUCAGGGGUGAAAUCCCGGGGCUCAACCUCGGAACUGCCUUUGAUACUGGGUGUCUUGAGUGUGGAAGAGGUCAGUGGAAUUGCGAGUGUAGAGGUGAAAUUCGUAGAUAUUCGCAGGAACACCAGUGGCGAAGGCGGCUGACUGGUCCACAACUGACGCUGAGGUGCGAAAGCGUGGGGAGCAAACAGG